ACACAUCGUAUUUUGGGUUGGC
rnacentral:siRNA from 1 species